rnacentral:tRNA from 1 species
UUAGUUGAAACCAAAUAGAGGUAACUCACUGUUAAUGAGAAAAUUGAUUUAAUCCAACUGA